CGGACGGGUGAGUAACACGUGGGAACCUACCCAUCAGAGGGGGAUAACACUUGGAAACAGGUGCUAAUACCGCAUAAUGUCUGCGGACCAAAGCGGGGGACCUCCGGGCCUCGCGCCAUCAGAUGAACCCAUAUGGGAUUAGCUUGUAGGUGGGGUAACGGCUCACCUAGGCGACGAUCCCUAGCUGGUCUGAGAGGAUGACCAGCCACACUGGAACUGAGACACGGUCCAG
rnacentral:rRNA from 1 species